rnacentral:rRNA from 1 species
CCUACGGGAGGCUGCAGUGAGGAAUAUUGGUCAAUGGACGAGAGUCUGAACCAGCCAAGUAGCGUGAAGGAUGACUGCCCUAUGGGUUGUAAACUUCUUUUAUAUGGGAAUAAAACGUUCCACGUGUGGGCUUUUGUAUGUACCCUAUGAAUAAGGAUCGGCUAACUCCGUGCCAGCAGCCGCGGUAAUCCGGAGGAUCCGAGCGUUAUCCAGGUUUAUUGGGUUUAAAGGGAGCGUAGGUGGAUUGUUAAGUCAGUUGUGAAAGUUUGCGGCUCAACCGUAAAAUUGCAGUUGAAAAUGGCAGUCUUGAGUACAGUAGAGGUGGGCGGAAUUCGUGGUGUAGCGGUGGAAUGCUUAGAUAUCACGAAGAACUCCGAUUGCGAAGGCAGUUCAAUGGACUGCAACUGACACUGAGGCUCGAAAGUGUGGGUAUCAAACAGGAUUAGAUACCCCGAGUAGUC